rnacentral:rRNA from 1 species
GACGAACGCUGGCGGCGUGCCUGACACAUGCAAGUCGGACGGUUCUUGCACCUUCAAGCUUGCUUGUUGGUUCAAGGAUAGUGGCGGACGGGUGAGUAACGCGUGAACACCUACCCAUUGGAGGGGUACAACCCGUCGAAAGGCGGGCUAAUACCGCGUAAGCCGUGAGGUGAAAGGCUGCUCUUUGGUGGCUGCCGAUGGAUGGGUUCGCGUCCUAUCAGCUGGUUGGUGGGGUAACGGCCUACCAAGGCUAAGACGGGUAGCCGGUCUGAGAGGAUGGCCGGCCACACUGGAACUGAGACACGGUCCAGACUCCUACGGGAGGCAGCAGUGGGGAAUCUUGGGCAAUGGGGGAGACCCUGACCCAGCGACGCCGCGUGAGGGAUGAAGGUUUUCGGAUCGUAAACCUCUGUUGUACGGGAAGAAGGAUGUGACGGUACCGUACGAGUAAACCCGGCAAACUACGUG